rnacentral:rRNA from 1 species
GAUGAACGCUGGCGGCGUGCUUAACACAUGCAAGUCGAACGGGAAAUCUUUCAUUGAGACUUCGGUGGAUUUGAUUUAUUUCUAGUGGCGGACGGGUGAGUAACGCGUGGGUAACCUGCCUUAUACAGGGGGAUAACAGUCAGAAAUGGCUGCUAAUACCGCAUAAGCGCACAGAGCUGCAUGGCUCAGUGUGAAAAACUCCGGUGGUAUAAGAUGGACCCGCGUUGGAUUAGCUAGUUGGUGGGGUAACGGCCCACCAAGGCGACGAUCCAUAGCCGGCCUGAGAGGGUGAACGGCCACAUUGGGACUGAGACACGGCCCAGACUCCUACGGGAGGUAGCAGUGGGGAAUAUUGCACAAUGGGGGAAACCCUGAGGCAGCGACGCCGCGUGAAGGAAGAAGUAUGUCGGUAUGUAAACUUCUAUCAGCAGGGAAGAUAGUGACGGUACCUGACUAAGAAGCCCCGGCUAACUACGUG